AUUGAACGCUGGCGGCAGGCUUAACACAUGCAAGUCGAGCGUGCGGCGGACGGGUGAGUAAUGUCUGGGAAACUGCCUGAUGGAGGGGGAUAACUACUGGAAACGGUAGCUAAUACCGCAUACCAUCAGAUGUGCCCAGAUGGGCUUAGCUAGUAGGUGGGGUAAGGGCUCAGCAAGGCGACGAUCCCUAGCUGGUCUGAGAGGAUGACCAGCCACCCUGGAACGGGACAACGGUCCAGACUCCUACGGGAGGCAGCGGUGGGGAAUAUUGGAAAAUGGGCGCAAGCCUGAUGCAGCCAGGCCGCGUGUGUGAAGAAGGCCUUCGGGUUGUAAAGCACUUUCAGAGAGGAGGCGUUACUCGCAGAAGAAGCACCGGCUAACUCCGUGCCAGCAGCCGCGGUAAUUC
rnacentral:rRNA from 1 species